rnacentral:rRNA from 1 species
GGUUAAGCGACUAAGCGUACACGGUGGAUGCCCUGGCAGUCAGAGGCGAUGAAGGACGUGCUAAUCUGCGAAAAGCGUCGGUAAGGUGAUAUGAACCGUUAUAACCGGCGAUGUCCGAAUGGGGAAACCCAGUGCAAUUCGUUGCACUAUCGUUAACUGAAUACAUAGGUUAACGAGGCGAACCGGGGGAACUGAAACAUCUAAGUACCCCGAGGAAAAGAAAUCAACCGAGAUUCCCCCAGUAGCGGCGAGCGAACGGGGAGCAGCCCAGAGUCUGAAUCAGCUUGUGUGUUAGUGGAACGGUCUGGAAAGUCCGACGGUACAGGGUGAUAGUCCCGUACACCAAAAUGCACAGGUUGUGAACUCGAAGAGUAGGGCGGGACACGUGGUAUCCUGUCUGAAUAUGGGGGGACCAUCCUCCAAGGCUAAAUACUCCUGACUGACCGAUAGUGAACCAGUACCGUGAGGGAAAGGCGAAAAGAACCCCGGCGAGGGGAGUGAAAAAGAACCUGAAACCGUGUACGUACAAGCAGUGGGAGCCUCUUUAUGGGGUGACUGCGUACCUUUUGUAUAAUGGGUCAGCGACUUAUAUUCUGUAGCAAGGUUAACCGUAUAGGGGAGCCGCAGGGAAACCGAGUCUUAACUGGGCGUUAAGUUGCAGGGUAUAGACCCGAAACCCGGUGAUCUAGCCAUGGGCAGGUUGAAGGUUGGGUAACACUAACUGGAGGACCGAACCGACUAAUGUUGAAAAAUUAGCGGAUGACUUGUGGCUGGGGGUGAAAGGCCAAUCAAACCGGGAGAUAGCUGGUUCUCCCCGAAAGCUAUUUAGGUAGCGCCUCGUGAACUCAUCUUCGGGGGUAGAGCACUGUUUCGGCUAGGGGGUCAUCCCGACUUACCAACCCGAUGCAAACUACGAAUACCGAAGAAUGUUAUCACGGGAGACACACGGCGGGUGCUAACGUCCGUCGUGAAGAGGGAAACAACCCAGACCGCCAGCUAAGGUCCCAAAGUCAUGGUUAAGUGGGAAACGAUGUGGGAAGGCACAGACAGCCAGGAUGUUGGCUUAGAAGCAGCCAUCAUUUAAAGAAAGCGUAAUAGCUCACUGGUCGAGUCGGCCUGCGCGGAAGAUGUAACGGGGCUAAACCAUGCACCGAAGCUGCGGCAGCGACACUAUGUGUUGUUGGGUAGGGGAGCGUUCUGUAAGCCUGCGAAGGUGACCUGUGAGGGUUGCUGGAGGUAUCAGAAGUGCGAAUGCUGACAUAAGUAACGAUAAAGCGGGUGAAAAGCCCGCUCGCCGGAAGACCAAGGGUUCCUGUCCAACGUUAAUCGGGGCAGGGUGAGUCGACCCCUAAGGCGAGGCCGAAAGGCGUAGUCGAUGGGAAACAGGUUAAUAUUCCUGUACUUGGUGUUACUGCGAAGGGGGGACGGAGAAGGCUAUGUUAGCCGGGCGACGGUUGUCCCGGUUUAAGCAUGUAGGCGGAGGUUCCAGGUAAAUCCGGUACCUUUUAACGCUGAGGUGUGAUGACGAGGCACUACGGUGCUGAAGUAACAAAUGCCCUGCUUCCAGGAAAAGCCUCUAAGCAUCAGGUAACAUUAAAUCGUACCCCAAACCGACACAGGUGGUCAGGUAGAGAAUACCAAGGCGCUUGAGAGAACUCGGGUGAAGGAACUAGGCAAAAUGGUGCCGUAACUUCGGGAGAAGGCACGCUGAUAUGUAGGUGAAGUCCCUGCGGAUGGAGCUGAAAUCAGUCGAAGAUACCAGCUGGCUGCAACUGUUUAUUAAAAACACAGCACUGUGCAAACACGAAAGUGGACGUAUACGGUGUGACGCCUGCCCGGUGCCGGAAGGUUAAUUGAUGGGGUUAUCCGUAAGGAGAAGCUCUUGAUCGAAGCCCCGGUAAACGGCGGCCGUAACUAUAACGGUCCUAAGGUAGCGAAAUUCCUUGUCGGGUAAGUUCCGACCUGCACGAAUGGCGUAAUGAUGGCCAGGCUGUCUCCACCCGAGACUCAGUGAAAUUGAACUCGCUGUGAAGAUGCAGUGUACCCGCGGCAAGACGGAAAGACCCCGUGAACCUUUACUAUAGCUUGACACUGAACAUUGAGCCUUGAUGUGUAGGAUAGGUGGGAGGCUUUGAAGCGUGGACGCCAGUCUGCGUGGAGCCAACCUUGAAAUACCACCCUUUAAUGUUUGAUGUUCUAACGUAGACCCCUAAUCGGGGUUGCGGACAGUGUCUGGUGGGUAGUUUGACUGGGGCGGUCUCCUCCCAAAGAGUAACGGAGGAGCACGAAGGUUAGCUAAUCCUGGUCGGACAUCAGGAGGUUAGUGCAAUGGCAUAAGCUAGCUUGACUGCGAGCGUGACGGCGCGAGCAGGUGCGAAAGCAGGUCAUAGUGAUCCGGUGGUUCUGAAUGGAAGGGCCAUCGCUCAACGGAUAAAAGGUACUCCGGGGAUAACAGGCUGAUACCGCCCAAGAGUUCAUAUCGACGGCGGUGUUUGGCACCUCGAUGUCGGCUCAUCACAUCCUGGGGCUGAAGUAGGUCCCAAGGGUAUGGCUGUUCGCCAUUUAAAGUGGUACGCGAGCUGGGUUUAGAACGUCGUGAGACAGUUCGGUCCCUAUCUGCCGUGGGCGCUGGAGAAUUGAGGGGGGCUGCUCCUAGUACGAGAGGACCGGAGUGGACGCAUCACUGGUGUUCGGGUUGUCAUGCCAAUGGCAUUGCCCGGUAGCUAAAUGCGGAAGAGAUAAGUGCUGAAAGCAUCUAAGCACGAAACUUGCCCCGAGAUGAGUUCUCCCUGAGACUAUAAGUCUCCUGAAGGAACGUUGAAGACGACGACGUUGAUAGGCCGGGUGUGUAAGCGCAGCGAUGCGUUGAGCUAACCGGUACUAAUGAACCGUGAGGCUUAACCUU